UUUUGAAGCAUGCAAGGCCAAAGCAAGAUAGUUGGUUCAUUUUGGAUAUCAAUGUCUUGGAUGGUACAAUGAUGGCUCCAUCUACCCCAUUCACAAAGAUUUGGCGAAUGCGUAACAAUGGCAUUUUAGUGUGGCCCAAGGGAACUCAACUUGUUUGGAUUGGUGGUUAUAAAUUAAUUGAUGUGCUUUCUGUUGACUUAGAGGUUGCUGAGGAUGGUGUACCCAUGAUCUAAAGGUCCAUAUUUUUUUCUUUCUCAUGACAUGUAAAGUAGUGUUCACUUAAUUUUUUUUUAUUAUAAGAUUUUCUGCUUGAAAUGGAGUAUGAGAACAGAUUCAGACAAGCUCAUAGACAAAAAUAUGACUGUCUUCUUUUUGAUUUAGAUGAUAUUUUGUAUCCACUAAGUUGUGGUAUUGCAAAAGCAUGUGGACAAAAUAUUAAAGGUGAUAUAUUGUUUAGUUUUUUACCAAUAAUGUUUUUAGUGAUGUGUUUAUGAUUUUUUUUUACAUAUUUUGUUGGUAUUGACUAAUUGAAUGCACCAUUGAUCUAUAGACUAUGGAACAACUAUGGUUGGUUUAAGGGUAUGCAUGAUUCUUAUAUA